CAAUAGCGUAUAUUAAAGUUGUUGCGGUCAAGAAGCUCGUAGUUGGAUUUCUACCGAAGAUAGCCGGUCGGGUCUUCGACCUUGUAUCUGGUUUUGUCUUUGGUAUCCUCAUAGGGAACGUUUCUGCGCUUUAUUGCGUGGUGCGGUAUCUAUGACUUUUACUUUGAGGAAAUUAGAGUGUUCACGGCAGGCAAACGCCUUGAAUAUAUUAGCAUGGAAUAAUAACAUAGGAUCUUCGUCCUAUUUUGUUGGUUUCUAGGGCUAAGAUAAUGAUUAAUAGGGAUAAUUGGGGGCAUCUGUAUCAACGCGUCAGAGGUGGAAUUCUUGGAUUGCGUUGCGACAAACUACUGCGAAAGCAUUUGCCAAGGAUGUUUUCAUUGA
rnacentral:rRNA from 1 species